AACGCAUAUUGCGCUCUUUGGUAUUCCGAAGAGCAUGCUUGUUUGAGUAUCAGUAAACACCUCAAAGCUUUUGGAUUUUUUUUUGAAAGUUUUGGACUUGAGCAAUCCCAACACCAGUCUUUUUCAGAUCGGUGGCGGGUUGCUUGAAAUGCAGGUGCAGCUGGACAUUCUCCUGAGCUAAAAGCAUAUUCAUUUAGUCCCGUCAAACGGAUUAUUACUUUUGCUGCAGCUAACAUAAAGGGAGUUUGACCGUAUUGGCUGACUGAUGCAGGAUUUCACAAGGGUCGGCAACGAUUCUUGUUAAACUCGAUCUCAAAUCAAGUAAGACUACCCGCUGAACUUAA
rnacentral:misc_RNA from 1 species